UUCCUUACCAGUAUAAUAUUGAUGAUUUAUUUUUCUUGUUAUUAUUGCAAUGUGCUUUUUUAUGAUUCAUUUUCUAUUUUUGCAUUCAAUUUAAAUCAUAUUGUGGGAGGUUAAUGUUGUUGCCAGUUCUUUGUGUUCGAUGGAAUUCACGACAGAUAUUUGGUUGUUCAAGAUGAUGACCGGAUAGACUGGCGCUUUCACAAGAUGAAGAUGGAAUGGGGUUUCAUCGAGCUUCUUUCUCAUGACACUUUGCGUGACGCUUCGAAUGGCUUCCUGGUCGAUGAUCGUAGCAUAUUUGGAUCGAGUGGAGGUUUUUGGUGUUAGGCCUGGCGAAGGAGAGAGUCUUUCAUUCGUCAAAGAACCUGCAAAUGGUCUAUACACUUGGAAGAUUAGUAACUUUUCGGCUCUGAAUAAAUAUAACCACUUCUCUGAGGGAUUUGCUGUUGAAGGAAGAAAAUGGAUUCUGCAGCUUUAUCCUGAGGGAGAUUCAAAUGCAUCAGGGACACACCUACCUUUCUCUUUAUCUCAGCUUAGAUGAUUCAGAAACUCUACAAACAACGCGGAAACUGUAGUGAAUGGUGUUUAACUUCCAUGUGGAUUGCUAUAAACAUUAACCAUGAAUUGUUCUUUUGCAGCUGGGUGUGAAGAUUGGCUCGACCGAAACUCCAAACUAGCAAUCAUCAAAUAGAUUGCGGCUUUCAUAAGAUGAAGAUGGAAAGGGGUUUAAUUAGAAUUUCUUUCCCAUGAUGCUUUGUGUGGCCCUUCAAAUGGCUGCCUGCUCGAUGAUCGUUGCGUAUUCGGAGUGGAGGUUUUUGUUGUCAAAAGCUCUGGUAAAGGGGAGAGUCUUUCAUUCAUCGAAGAACUUGCUAGUGGUCUAAAUACUCCUUUUUUUACGGGAUGUUUAACUAGCCAAUAUUUGCUCUACUCAAACUUUUCUGGUUCUUCCUAGCAUUCUUUACUUGUCUUAUUAUUGCCGAGUAGUUUUUGGAUAUUGAACAAACUUUCCUAGAAGAUAAUUUUUCCCCUUUUUUGCAAUCAGUUUCGCUAUGACACUGCAGCUCUAACUAAUUGUCCACCCCAAAGUGUGAUUUCUAUGUUAUGUAUGGUGGUGGCUAAGGGGAUGUGCUUGAAGUAUAUAUAUAUAUAUUUUAUCAAUCAAAAUCUCUUCCUAAAUUGUACAAGCUUCUUCCUAAAUUGUACAAGCUUCUUCCAAGGCAUACAGCUUUC